rnacentral:rRNA from 1 species
AGUCGAGCGGACGGAUGGGAGCUUGCUCCCUGAAGUCAGCGGCGGACGGGUGAGUAACACGUGGGCAACCUGCCUGUAAGACUGGGAUAACUUCGGGAAACCGGAGCUAAUACCGGAUAAUGCACAGCCUCUCAUGAGGCUAUGCUGAAAGAUGGUUUCGGCUAUCACUUACAGAUGGGCCCGCGGCGCAUUAGCUAGUUGGUGAGGUAACGGCUCACCAAGGCAACGAUGCGUAGCCGACCUGAGAGGGUGAUCGGCCACACUGGGACUGAGACACGGCCCAGACUCCUACGGGAGGCAGCAGUAGGGAAUCUUCCGCAAUGGACGAAAGUCUGACGGAGCAACGCCGCGUGAGUGAUGAAGGUUUUCGGAUCGUAAAACUCUGUUGUCAGGGAAGAACAAGUGCCGGAGUAACUGCCGGCACCUUGACGGUACCUGACCAGAAAGCCACGGCUAACUACGUGCCAGCAGCCGCGGUAAUACGUAGGUGGCAAGCGUUGUCCGGAAUUAUUGGGCGUAAAGCGCGCGCAGGCGGUCUCUUAAGUCUGAUGUGAAAGCCCACGGCUCAACCGUGGAGGGUCAUUGGAAACUGGGGGACUUGAGUGCAGAAGAGGAAAGUGGAAUUCCACGUGUAGCGGUGAAAUGCGUAGAGAUGUGGAGGAACACCAGUGGCGAAGGCGACUUUCUGGUCUGUAACUGACGCUGAGGCGCGAAAGC